rnacentral:misc_RNA from 1 species
CAAUAGAUUUUGUACUAUAUCCUUUUUGGGUGUAAACUCAAUGAUGGUAUACAUUCACGAGGUACUAUCUGGACACAUUUUUAUGGAAAAUUGCUGUGCUCAUCCCUUGACUGAGGACGGUACAUUAAAAGACACUGCCAAAAAGGAUAUAGUACAAAAUCUAUUGAGAUUCUUGCGUUCACCAAAACCAACUUCCAAAGCUUCAAGGAAGAAAUUUGUUGGCAAGAUUUGAGCUCAGCCCUUUCAUCUCAACACCAAUUGGGAACCUACCAGUAUAGAAUUAUAACAAUAGAAAGGGAAAAGGGGGGAAAAACGAGUUAAAAGGCAACAUAACAACCUCUUGCUGCCACUGGGAGCACUUGCUCAAAUAGACAGGUAAUAGAAAACCCCCAGUUAUCGUCUUCCGCAAAAAGAUAUUUCAUCAAUUAGUCAUACAGUUUAUACAUGGAGUCCACCAACAAUCAUCAAGAGACUCCUUAAUUAUCAGUAACCCAGAAUGUCACUUCUCUUGGCUAAAUGACCUAAGAUGUUUGACUAGAUCCUCUUUCAAUGAUUCAGGUAUCUGUGAAAUAAAGGUUGAUUUGGCCUCUUCAAUCAACAGCUUCUUCAAUUCAAUAUCACUUAAGAUGUUCCUUGCUUCUCGUGCACAUAACCUCUUCCUUGAGCACAUAAAACUGUAUACCUUAUUAGACCAACCACAUGAUCGCAAACCCGAAGAAGCUUCUUGCUUGAGAACUUCUUUCAACUCUUUAACUUUGGCUCGAGAAUGAGAAUCCUGUGCUAACAAAAUGAAAGAAUCCUCCUUUAAUUUCCUCUUCAACUCUGGAUUUCCAGAAUGGCAAUUCUCUCCGCCGUUCUGCAAUUCAAGGUGAUUAGACCCUUUUUCCAUAGUUGUUCUGCCCAUAGUACCACUAGCUUCAUAGAGAUUCAGCUUUACUGACUCAAAGGCACCAUUUUGGGUAACACCGUUUUCACUUGCUACUGCUAUUGAUGGGCAGCUCUCACCAUCAACUAUUUUGUUUUUGUUGCAACCAUUUCCAUUUAUCAUUGGUGAUAUAUCCUUGUCAAGUUUCUCCAUGCAAAUUGUGUCCUUUGCAUCCCCAUUCAUUUUCAUGUUUUGACUCUUAUACAUAUCAGCCUUUCUGUCAACAGUUGGAGGAACCCUUCUGGAGCUAGAGUUUCCAAAAAUAUUAAACUUUAUCUGCGGACUAGAAGGCACUUUAUAAACCUUAGACGUGGAUGGAAUAUCAUUGCGUGAAGAUUGUUCAACACAUAGUUUUGUGGGCACAGAUUUUGGUGCAACAGAAACCUUUGGACUUUUAUAUGCCUCACUAACAUUGAGAUUGCUUGAUUUUACUCCAUUGGAAAUACAUUUUGCACCAGCAGAAACUGGCCUUUGGUUAGUGCGAGAGAAAAAAAGAAUAUAGACCUUCUCUGACAAGACAUCCUGCAGUGUUGAAAGUGUCACAUAAGAAUCAUUACAGCAAUACCACCGACCCAUUGCAUCCUUGAUAUACGCAUAGUAGUGUCCAGAUUCUGGUGAGCAUCCCGAAUGCACAAUGGUGCCAAAAAGAUUAUACUCUGGCCGUGGAUCCUGGCUCCCUUUGCACAUGAAGCUUGAAAGUACCAGAACCUCUUCAAACGCAAUAGCCUUAUCAAUCUUGCCGCCGAAUAUGCCCUCAAAUCUCUUCAGUUGGAUUACCAAGAUAUUAGGUGCUUGAAGAAUUGACAUUUGCUUCCUUGCUGUCACCAAUUUCUUACAAUUUUCACAUCUGUACUUAUUGCUGCCAUCCAAAAUCUCAGGCUGAAAAAACUUUUGCAUUGCUUCUCUAAGCGAAUUACCAUGCAAAACAUCGAGACUAAUGUCCAUAAUCUCAUCAACCUUAUUGGACUCAGAAUCACAUGACAAGCACUUCACCUGGCUCUGCAGAGCACCCCCAAAUAUCUCCUUAACGAUGGUAUUGCUGCCGUUAAUGGAGUCAUUCCCCAUGCGGCGCAUCUUCAUGAGUCGCAAGCAGGUGUUGUGGCAAGCAUCAAUGACAUAACGCAGGAACUCAUGUGCAUCCUCUUGGCGACCGCACCGAAAGUGCUCAGCAAAAAUCCUGAGACAGCUCUGGAUCUUAGCUGGGGCAUCAAGAGUUAGGUCCAGACUUAGGGAACGGACUAUCCGUUUCUCCAGUAUGCAAAAUGGACACUCCCGCUUUCGCUCCCCGUUGGAAACCGAAUCACAGAGAGAAGAGUGUUGUAAACGAAGACAAAAAUUGG